rnacentral:rRNA from 1 species
AUUGAACGCUGGCGGCAGGCUUAACACAUGCAAGUCGAGCGGGGGAAGGUAGCUUGCUACCGGACCUAGCGGCGGACGGGUGAGUAAUGCUUAGGAAUCUGCCUAUUAGUGGGGGACAACAUCUCGAAAGGGAUGCUAAUACCGCAUACGUCCUACGGGAGAAAGCGGGGGAUCUUCGGACCUUGCGCUAAUAGAUGAGCCUAAGUCGGAUUAGCUAGUUGGUGGGGUAAAGGCCUACCAAGGCGACGAUCUGUAGCGGGUCUGAGAGGAUGAUCCGCCACACUGGGACUGAGACACGGCCCAGACUCCUACGGGAGGCAGCAGUGGGGAAUAUUGGACAAUGGGGGGAACCCUGAUCCAGCCAUGCCGCGUGUGUGAAGAAGGCCUUAUGGUUGUAAGGCACUUUAAGCGAGGAGGAGGCUACUCUAGUUAAUACCUAGGGAUAGUGGACGUUACUCGCGGAAUAAGCACCGGCUAACUCUGUGCCAGCCGCCGCAGUAA